AGUGAACGCUGGCGGUAGGCCUAACACAUGCAAGUCGAACGGCAGCACAGUAAGAGCUUGCUCUUACGGGUGGCGAGUGGCGGACGGGUGAGGAAUACAUCGGAAUCUACUUUUUCGUGGGGGAUAACGUAGGGAAACUUACGCUAAUACCGCAUACGACCUACGGGUGAAAGCAGGGGAUCUUCGGACCUUGCGCGAUUGAAUGAGCCGAUGUCGGAUUAGCUAGUUGGCGGGGUAAAGGCCCACCAAGGCGACGAUCCGUAGCUGGUCUGAGAGGAUGAUCGCCCACACUGAACUGAGACACGGUCCAGACUCCUACGGGAGGCAGCAGUGGGGAAUAUUGGACAAUGGGCGCAAGCCUGAUCCAGCCAUACCGCGUGGGUGAAGAAGGCCUUCGGGUUGUAAAGCCCUUUUGUUGGGAAAGAAAAGCAGCAGGUUAAUACCCCGCUGUUCUGACGGUACCCAAAGAAUAAGCACCGGCUAACUUCGUG
rnacentral:rRNA from 1 species